rnacentral:rRNA from 1 species
UACGUAGGGGGCAAGCGUUGUCCGGAAUCAUUGGGCGUAAAGCGCGUGUAGGCGGCCCGGUAAGUCCGCUGUGAAAGUCGGGGGCUCAACCCUCGAAUGCCGGUGGAUACUGUCGGGCUAGAGUGCGGAAGAGGCGAGUGGAAUUCCUGGUGUAGCGGUGAAAUGCGCAGAUAUCAGGAGGAACACCGAUUGCGAAGGCAGCUCGCUGGGACGUGACUGACGCUGAGACGCGAAAGCGUGGGGAGCAAACAGG